rnacentral:rRNA from 1 species
UACGUAGGGUGCGAGCGUUGUCCGGAAUUACUGGGCGUAAAGGGCUUGUAGGUGGUUUGUCGCGUUGUUCGUGAAAACUCACAGCUUAACUGUGGGCGUGCGGGCGAUACGGGCAGACUGGAGUACUGCAGGGGAGACUGGAAUUCCUGGUGUAGCGGUGGAAUGCGCAGAUAUCAGGAGGAACACCGGUGGCGAAGGCGGGUCUCUGGGCCUGUCCUGACGCUCAGGCGCGAAAGCUAGGGGAGCAAACAGG